GUGGGGAAUAUUGGACAAUGGGCGCAAGCCUGAUCCAGCCAUGCCGCGUGAGUGACGAAGGUCUUCGGAUUGUAAAGCUCUUUUGGCGGGGACGAUAAUGACGGUACCCGCAGAAUAAGCCCCGGCUAACUUCGUGCCAGCAGCCGCGGUAAUACGAAGGGGGCUAGCGUUGUUCGGAAUUACUGGGCGUAAAGCGCACGUAGGCGGAUUUGUAAGUCAGGGGUGAAAUCCCGGGGCUCAACCUCGGAACUGCCUUUGAUACUGCAAAUCUCGAGUCCGGAAGAGGUGAGUGUAAUUCCUAGUGUAGAGGUGAAAUUCGUAGAUAUUAGGAAGAACACCAGUGGCGAAGGCGGCUCACUGGUCUGGUACUGACGCUGAGGUGCGAAAGCGUGGGGAGCAAACAGGAUUAGAAACCCGUGUAGUCC
rnacentral:rRNA from 1 species